rnacentral:rRNA from 1 species
CCUACGGGAGGCAGCAGUGAGGGAUAUUGGUCAAUGGGGGAAACCCUGAACCAGCAACGCCGCGUGAGGGAAGACGGUUUUCGGAUUGUAAACCUCUGUCCUCUGUGAAGAUAAUGACGGUAGCAGAGGAGGAAGCUCCGGCUAACUACGUGCCAGCAGCCGCGGUAAUACGUAGGGAGCAAGCGUUGUCCGGAUUUACUGGGUGUAAAGGGUGCGUAGGCGGCCCUGCAAGUCAGAAGUGAAAUCCAUGGGCUUAACCCGUGAACUGCUUUUGAAACUGUAGGGCUUGAGUGAAGUAGAGGCAGGCGGAAUUCCCGGUGUAGCGGUGAAAUGCGUAGAGAUCGGGAGGAACACCAGUGGCGAAGGCGGCCUACUGGGCUUUAACUGACGCUGAAGCACGAAAGCGUGGGUAGCAAACAGGAUUAGAGACCCUGGUAGUC